rnacentral:rRNA from 1 species
UACGUAGGGGGCAAGCGUUGUCCGGAUUUAUUGGGCGUAAAGAGCUCGUAGGCGGCCUGUCGCGUCGGCUGUGAAAACCCGAGGCUCAACCUCGGGCCUGCAGUCGAUACGGGCAGGCUAGAGUUCGGUAGGGGAGACUGGAAUUCCUGGUGUAGCGGUGAAAUGCGCAGAUAUCAGGAGGAACACCGGUGGCGAAGGCGGGUCUCUGGGCCGAAACUGGACGCUGGAGGAGCGAAAGCGUGGGGAGCGAACAGGA